GAUAACUAUGUAUUUAAAUGAGAGGGAAAUUCUAAAACAACAUAUUGGAUGGAAAAAUGGUUGGGAAGAUAGGUGCCCAUUCUGUUCCUAUCUUCAGAAGUUAUUUAUACCUAUGCAAUACCUUCGCUCAGGUUAAAGAAUGGAAUACUAGUCUUGCAUCAAAUAUAUUUUACAUAUCCAUUCGAUGUUUAUCACCAGAAGUUAGUUCUACCUUUGCAGUACCUCCGCUCUACAUACCUCCUCACUGGUUAAA